UACGGGGGGAGCAAGCGUUGUUCGGAUUUACUGGGCGUAAAGGGCUCGUAGGCGGCCAACUAAGUCAGACGUGAAAUCCCUCGGCUUAACCGGGGAACUGCGUCUGAUACUGGAAGGCUUGAGUUUGGGAGAGGGAUGCAGAAUUCCAGGUGUAGCGGUGAAAUGCGUAGAUAUCUGGAGGAAUACCGGUGGCGAAGGCGGCAUCCUGGACCAACACUGACGCUGAGGCGCGAAAGCUAGGGGAGCAAACGGG
rnacentral:rRNA from 1 species